GAUGAACGCUAGCUACAGGCUUAACACAUGCAAGUCGAGGGGCAGCAUUUCAGUUUGCUUGCAAACUGGAGAUGGCGACCGGCGCACGGGUGAGUAACACGUAUCCAACCUGCCGAUAACUCGGGGAUAGCCUUUCGAAAGAAAGAUUAAUACCCGAUGGUAUAAUCAGACCGCAUGGUCUUGUUAUUAAAGAAUUUCGGUUAUCGAUGGGGAUGCGUUCCAUUAGGCAGUUGGUGAGGUAACGGCUCACCAAACCUUCGAUGGAUAGGGGUUCUGAGAGGAAGGUCCCCCACAUUGGAACUGAGACACGGUCCAAACUCCUACGGGAGGCAGCAGUGAGGAAUAUUGGUCAAUGGGCGCAGGCCUGAACCAGCCAAGUAGCGUGAAGGAUGACUGCCCUAUGGGUUGUAAACUUCUUUUAUAUGGGAAUAAAGUUUUCCACGUGUGGAAUUUUGUAUGUACCAUAUGAAUAAGGAUCGGCUAACUCCGUGCCAGCAGCCGCGGUAAUACGGAGGAUCCGAGCGUUAUCCGGAUUUAUUGGGUUUAAAGGGAGCGUAGGUGGACAGUUAAGUCAGUUGUGAAAGUUUGCGGCUCAACCGUAAAAUUGCAGUUGAUACUGGCUGUCUUGAGUACAGUAGAGGUGGGCGGAAUUCGUGGUGUAGCGGUGAAAUGCUUAGAUAUCACGAAGAACUCCGAUUGCGAAGGCAGCUCACUGGACUGCAACUGACACUGAUGCUCGAAAGUGUGGGUAUCAAACAGGAUUAGAUACCCUGGUAGUCCACACAGUAAACGAUGAAUACUCGCUGUUUGCGAUAUACAGUAAGCGGCCAAGCGAAAGCAUUAAGUAUUCCACCUGGGGAGUACGCCGGCAACGGUGAAACUCAAAGGAAUUGACGGGGGCCCGCACAAGCGGAGGAACAUGUGGUUUAAUUCGAUGAUACGCGAGGAACCUUACCCGGGCUUAAAUUGCAUUUGAAUAUAUUGGAAACAGUAUAGCCGUAAGGCAAAUGUGAAGGUGCUGCAUGGUUGUCGUCAGCUCGUGCCGUGAGGUGUCGGCUUAAGUGCCAUAACGAGCGCAACCCUUAUCUUUAGUUACUAACAGGUCAUGCUGAGGACUCUAGAGAGACUGCCGUCGUAAGAUGUGAGGAAGGUGGGGAUGACGUCAAAUCAGCACGGCCCUUACGUCCGGGGCUACACACGUGUUACAAUGGGGGGUACAGAAGGCAGCUACCUGGUGACAGGAUGCUAAUCCCAAAAGCCUCUCUCAGUUCGGAUCGAAGUCUGCAACCCGACUUCGUGAAGCUGGAUUCGCUAGUAAUCGUGCAUCAGCCAUGGCGCGGUGAAUACGUUCCCGGGCCU
rnacentral:rRNA from 1 species